rnacentral:rRNA from 1 species
AGAGUUUGAUCCUGGCUCAGGACGAACGCUGGCGGCGUGCCUAACACAUGCAAGUCGAGCGGAGACAGUGAGUAGCUUGCUACGAACUGUUUUAGCGGCGGACGGGUGAGUAACGCGUGAGCAACCUUUCCCAGACAGGGGAAUAACACACCGAAAGGUGUACUAAUACCGCAUAAGACCACGGGAUCACAUGGUUCUGGGGUAAAAGAUUUAUCGGUUUGGGGUGGGCUCGCGUCCGAUUAGGUAGUUGGUGAGGUAACGGCCCACCAAGCCGACGAUCGGUAGCCGACCUGAGAGGGUGAUCGGCCACAUUGGGACUGAGACACGGCCCAAACUCCUACGGGAGGCAGCAGUGGGGAAUAUUGCACAAUGGGGGAAACCCUGAUGCAGCGACGCCGCGUGAGUGAAGAAGUAUUUCGGUAUGUAAAGCUCUAUCAGCAGGGAAGAAAAUGACGGUACCUGACUAAGAAGCCCCGGCUAACUACGUGCCAGCAGCCGCGGUAAUACGUAGGGGGCAAGCGUUGUCCGGAAUAAUUGGGCGUAAAGGGCGCGUAGGCGGCUCGGUAAGUCUGGAGUGAAAGUCCUGCUUUUAAGGUGGGAAUUGCUUUGGAUACUGUCGGGCUUGAGUGCAGGAGAGGUUAGUGGAAUUCCCAGUGUAGCGGUGAAAUGCGUAGAGAUUGGGAGGAACACCAGUGGCGAAGGCGACUAACUGGACUGUAACUGACGCUGAGGCGCGAAAGUGUGGGGAGCAAACAGGAUUAGAUACCCUGGUAGUCCACACU